CUCGAUGUCGGCUCAUCGCAUCCUGGAGCUGUAGAAGGUUCCAAGGGUUGGGCUGUUCGCCCAUUAAAGCGGUACGUGAGCUGGGUUCAGAACGUCGCGAGACAGUUCGGUCCCUAUCUGGUGUGGGCGUAGGAAAUUUGAGGGGGGCUGUCCCUAGUACGAGAGGACCGGGAUGGACAAACCUCUUGUGUCCCAGUUGUCGCGCCAGCGGCAUGGCUGGGUAGCGAAGUUUGGAAGCGAUAACCGCUGAAAGCAUCUAAGCGGGAAGCGCGCCCCGAGAUAAGAUUUCCCAAGGAUGAAACGUGGGCCAGCUACUCACGGAGAAUCCUAUGAAGGGCCGCGGAAGACUACCGCGUUGAUAGGUCGGAAGUGUAAGCACAGUAAUGUGUUCAGCCUACCGAUACUAAUCGCCCGUUCGGCUUGACCAUA
rnacentral:rRNA from 1 species